GGCUCCGUAUAUCUGUUGUGACCUAUCGUGGUAAGUAAGGCGUGGAUAUAGCACGGAAAAGCUGUGUGUAACACAGUUGAAUGGGGCAACCCCUCGGCCGAGUGUCUCUCGGUCUGUUUGGGCUAACUGGAACUGGCACGCUUUGACCACGUGCUGAUCCGGCCUCGCAAAUCCUCCUAAAGUAUGCCGACAAUUCCGGGGGUGGGCAACAAUCCCGCCUACCGACGGUAAAAAACGGAGGCCUCUUCUUGGGAACUCUCCCGACCGGGUAUCACGCCCUAAGCUGGAUUUGGGCCCGGAUUGCGCAUUCCCCUCAAUAAGAAGAGUCUAACCACGAGCGCACGAUGGGCUUCAGACCUAUCAGCUUGAUGGUAGGGUAUUGGCCUACCAUGGCAAUGACGGGUACAGAGGAUUAGGGUUUGAUCCUGGAGAGGUAGCCUGAGAAAUCGCUCCCACUUCUAAGGAAGGCAGCAGGCGCGUAACGUUCCCAAUGCUCGUGUGAGUGAGGACGUAAUGGGAUAUAACAAUACCUCUUAUACUAGUGGGUAAUUGAUAAUGGGGUGGGUCUAAAUGCCCCACCGAGAAGCGACUGGAGGACAA
rnacentral:rRNA from 1 species